UAGGAUUCAAUUAGCUUGAGAAAAACGUUCACUCAUGCUUAUGUGAAGCUUGGGUAAGGUUGAAAAUAAAUAAUUGGAGCUUGAAAUUGUGAAUACUGGAACUUGGAGGAAGCGGAUUAGUUGAGGUUUUGAGGGCUGUGUUCUUUUAGGAAAAUUUUCUUGGAAUAACACUUGGGAAUCGGCUAAGAUGCAGGUCGAGAGGCAUCUCGUUAGGCGUCUGGACUCUUGAAGAGGAGUGGUUACAGGUGUACUUU